CUGUUGGGUCAAAGCAGAGAGAGGUCUUCUCCUCAAAGUUUGCCUUCACGCCCACCACCACUCUAGUUUCCUACCUCCCAAAGAAAAACAAGAAUGUAGUUCUUCUGAGCACACUGCACAAAGACGGCGACAUUAGUGAUCGUGAGGACAGGAAGCCAAUCAUCAUCCUGGAAUACAACCACAACAAAGGAGAUGUGGACAACCUAGAUAAGGUGAUUGGAACAUAUAGCUGCAGAAGAAUGACUGCCCGCUGGCCCCUGGUCAUCUUCCACAACAUCAUUGAUGUGUCCUCCUACAAUACCUUUGUGAUUUGGAGAGAGAUCAACCCAACCUGGAUGCCUCAUAAGCAUAACAAAAGGAGAGUGUUCCUGGAGCACUUAGGAAAGGCAAUCGGAACUCCACUCAUUGAAAGAAGGAAGCACAUUCCCCGCACAGAAGCCUCAGCAGCAGUUGUGAAAGCUAUUCAGAGUGCAGCAGCUCCUGAUCAACUUGGGGAUCCAUCUACCACAGCCACUUCCCCAGCUAGGGCAAGUAAGAGGAAGAGAUGUCAGUUCUGCCCUCAAAAGAAGGACUGUAAAACACGUACUGUGUGCUGCAGGUGUAAGAAAUAUAUCUGCAAAGGCUGUGCGCUUGCAUACUGCCCUACAUGUGCUAAUUAGUUGAAUGGGUUAUUUUUCAAAUUUUUGUAUUGUACAUUCUCUUAAAUUGUUCACUGGAGAAAAGUAAAAGUAAAUGAGUCAUUGAGAUGAAUAAAAAUGCAUUCGAAA